rnacentral:rRNA from 1 species
AACGAACGCUGGCGGCAUGCCUAACACAUGCAAGUCGAACGAGACCUUCGGGUUUAGUGGCGCAUGGGUGCGUAACGCGUGGGAACCUGCCCUUAGGUUCGGCAUAACUCCCCGAAUGGGGUCCUAAUACCGGAUCAUGUCCUCGGACCAAAGAUUUAUCGCGCUUGGAUGGUCCUGCGUUGUAUUAGCUAGUUGGUAGGGUAAAAGCCUACCACGGCUUCGAUCGAUAGCUGGUCAGUGAGGCUGGGCAGCCACACUGGCGCUGGGACACGGUCCAGACUACUGGGGGAGGGAGGAAUGGGGGAUAUAGGAAAACGGGGGGAAGGCAGAACCUGCUAUGCCGGGAGAGUGAUUAAGGCCUUGGGGAAGGAAAGCACUUUUACCCCGGACGAUAAUGACAGUACCGGGAGAAUAAGCACCGGCUAACUCCGUG